rnacentral:rRNA from 1 species
CCGCAUACGAUCUACGGAUGAAAGCGGGGGACCUUCGGGCCUCGCGCUAUAGGGUUGGCCGAUGGCUGAUUAGCUAGUUGGUGGGGUAAAGGCCUACCAAGGCGACGAUCAGUAGCUGGUCUGAGAGGACGACCAGCCACACUGGGACUGAGACACGGCCCAGACUCCUACGGGAGGCAGCAGUGGGGAAUUUUGGACAAUGGGCGAAAGCCUGAUCCAGCAAUGCCGCGUGUGUGAAGAAGGCCUUCGGGUUGUAAAGCACUUUUGUCCGGAAAGAAAUCCUUGACCCUAAUACAGUCGGGGGAUGACGGUACCGGAAGAAUAAGCACCGGCUAACUACGUGCCAGCAGCCGCGGUAAUACGUAGGGUGCGAGCGUUAAUCGGAAUUACUGGGCGUAAAGCGUGCGCAGGCGGUUUGCUAAGACCGAUGUGAAAUCCCCGGGCUCAACCUGGGAACUGCAUUGGUGACUGGCAGGCUAGAGUAUGGCAGAGGGGGGUAGAAUUCCACGUGUAGCAGUGAAAUGCGUAGAGAUGUGGAGGAAUACCGAUGGCGAAGGCAGCCCCCUGGGCCAAUACUGACGCUCA